rnacentral:misc_RNA from 1 species
GAAAUGCGAUACGUAAUGUGAAUUGCAGAAUUCAGUGAAUCAUCGAAUCUUUGAACGCACAUUGCGCUCUCUGGUAUUCCGGAGAGCAUGCUUGUUUGAGUAUCAGUAAACACCUCAACUCCUUUAUUGUAGUUGGACUUGAGCUAUCCCAACAGGACUUUUGUUCCUGGCGGGAGGCUUGAAAUGCAGGUGCAGCUGGACUUUCUUCUGAGCUAUAAGCAUAUUUAUUUAAUCCCUUAACACGGAUUAUUACUUUUUUGCUGCAGCUAACAUAAAGGUUGAAUUUCCAUUGAGCUGACUGAUGCAGGAAUUUGGCAAGGAAUUUUUUUAAUGACUUGUUAAACUCGAUCUCAAAUCAAGUAAGACUACCCGCUGAACUUAA